rnacentral:rRNA from 1 species
GAAUCUUGGACAAUGGGCGCAAGCCUGAUCCAGCCAUGCCGCGUGUGUGAAGAAGGCCCUAGGGUUGUCAAGCACUUUCAGCAGGGAGGAAGGCUUCUGGUUAAUACCUGGGAGUACUUGACGUUACCUGCAGAAGAAGCACCGGCUAAUUUCGUGCCAGCAGCCGCGGUAAUACGAAAGGUGCGAGCGUUAAUCGGAAUUACUGGGCGUAAAGCGCGCGUAGGCGGCUAUUUAAGUCUGAUGUGAAACCCCCGGGCUCAACCUGGGAAUGGCAUCGGAUACUGGGUAGCUAGAGUGCAGUAGAGGAAGGUGGAAUUCCAGGUGUAGCGGUGAAAUGCGUAGAGAUCUGGAGGAACACCAGUGGCGAAGGCGGCCUUCUGGACUGACACUGACGCUGAGGUGCGAAAGCGUGGGGAUCAAACAGG